rnacentral:rRNA from 1 species
UACAGACGGCGCAAGCGUUAUCCGGAAUGAUUGGGCGUAAAGCGUCUGUAGGUGGUUCGCGAAGUCUACUGUCAAAUCCCAGGGCUCAACCUUGGACAGGCAGUGGAGAACUCGUGGACUCGAGUACGGUAGGGGUAGAGGGAAUUCCCGGUGAAGCAGUGAAAUGCACAGAGAUCGGGAAGAACACCAGUGGCGAAGGCGCUCUACUAGGCCGUGACUGACACUGAGAGACGAUAGCGUGGGGAGCGAACAGG